GACGAACCGUGCGAACGUUGUUCGGAUUCACUGGGCUUAAAGGGCGCGUAGGCGGGCUGGUCAAGUCAGGGGUGAAAUCCUUUCGGCUCAACCGGAAAAGUGCCUUUGAUACUGGCCGUCUCGAGGGAGGUGAGGGCAGUGCGGAACUUCCGGUGGAGCGGUGAAAUGACGUAGAUAUCGGAAGGAACGCCGGUGGCGAAAGCGGCGUGCUGGACCUCUUCUGACGCUGAGGCGCGAAAGCCAGGGGAGCAAACGGGG
rnacentral:rRNA from 1 species